GAAAAUUCUUGAAUGUUGGUAUUUCGUCAUCAUUAGCAGAAGACAGAAAGAUCUUGUGUGUAAAUAUAGUUUCUUGAACACUAAGGUUCAUAUUAUACUAGGAAAAAAUGGUUGGUACCAGAGUUUAUGUUGGCGGUCUAAGCUACAGAGUUGGGGAAAGAGAUCUUGACAGGUUCUUCAGAUCAUAUGGAAAACUUAGAGAUAUCGUCAUAAAAAAUGGUUUUGGUUUUGUGGAAUUUGAUGAUGACAGGGAUGCUGAUGAUGCUGUGUAUGAAAUGAAUGGCAAAGAA